AGAGAGCAAGAAAAAGAGAGGAGAAGGAGCGGAAGAAGGGAGGAAGAGAGAGGGGGCUUAGGCAAGCUCAACUGCAGAGAUUAUUUUUAAAGUGUGGCCAGAUAUUUUGUUUUCUUUUUUUUCCUCCUGCAGCAAUAAUGCCAUCUCCGGCUCUGCAGGACAUAGGAGAGCCUGCAGUUUGUGGAAUAUAUGAUGGUUCAGCUUUCCCCUCCUUACCUCAGUCUUGAUUCCAUGUUCAUAUUAAGGUGUUCUGAGAAAGGGAGGAUGAUGCAUGGCCUGCAGCCCUUCAGCUUUCCAGGCGUCUGUCUCCACCCUACGCAACCCUAGUGAUGGGUUGACAAGCACUGGUUGACAGCAAGUCAGGCCAUCAACAGGAUUUUACACACACACACACACACACACACACACACACAGCACCGGUUCCUGAGGAGACCAGCGGCAAGGGCUUGCACAGGAAAACUACUCUAAACCUCAUGAGUUCCUGCUGGAAAUAUAGUUUGAUUAACUGGAAAUCCAGGGAGCUGCGGCAUUUAAAGGUAAAAUGACAGAACUUUACUUUUGAAUCUUUGCCUCAGCCAAGCUGCCUGGGAAAACCUGGAGACACCCGAAUGGAGUGGAGACUACGAAGCUCAGAGCUGAGGAAGCCUCAGCCAGAGGAGGGUCCUUAGCAUGCCACAAGCAGGUACUUUAGAGAACAGCUGCAUCCUGUGAAAACAGAAGGAAACAGCAACAUCCACUAGAAAGCAACACCGGAGGUCAAGACCUGACACUAUCCAAAUAAAAGCUGAGAAAAUGGCUUACUCUCCAGGCCAAGGCCAUAGGGUGGUGCUCUCACCCCAUCACCAAACCAAGUCCCAUGAUCUCUAGGACUUUUCCUUUGAUUUAGUAAAGAGCCACUAAAUCCAUUAGGAAUGACACAGAGUAGAGCCCUCCCUCCCCUUGACACUCUUCCUCCGAGCCACUUGCUGGAUACUGGGUCUCUUGUAACAACACCAUAAUGUCUUACUGCAGUCCGGGGUAUGGCCUUGCACAGCUCUUGAAGCACGGGUGCUUGUGGGUUGGGGCUUGCUAUAUGAUGAACUAUAGCACUGAACUACAUCUCCAGCCAACUAAAGAGUAGUCUCAUCUCACAGCCUCUGCUAGCAUCUCCUCCCACUUCCUCCGAAGCAGCACAGAACAUAACCAUUGCCUCAAAGGCCACCUGUAAUAUCCUAGUCCACGAAGCAGCUGCUGCUUGCUGGAACACCUGGUGCUUUCCCAUGGCGCCUUGCCCCCACCCUCACCUCCUUCUGGCACAGGCUUCUGAGCCUUCUGUCUCUGCUGUCAUCUGUUCCAGGAUGCCUUUCCCACCCCUGAUCAACGCGAUCAGCUUUUCUCAGGGUCCACAGGGAAUUUCUCGUGCUUUCCUCACAAUUCUGCUCUUCAGUGUGGUUUCUCCACAUCUGGUCUGUGUUUUCCUCUUCAAAGAGCUUAGAGCAGUGCCUGUCCCCAAUAAAUAUCUGCUUGAUUUUUCAAGUAACCUUCCUCCAAUCACUAGAAGAAUACAGUCUGUAAAUAUACAAAAUAAAAGAAGGGAUCCUU